UUCACCAAACUAUUUCAACAAACAACAAGAAUCAUCACUAAAAUAGACUUAAAAAUCUUAUAUAUACCAAAUAAACAAAAAUUAAACUAAAAACAAAAAUUUCACUGCUCCAAGACCAAUAAUAUCCAGAGAUCUCCAUGAAUCGCAGCAGAAUUUGAAAUUUAACACAAAAUACAGAAAAAACAACAAUUCAACCAGAAAUA
rnacentral:lncRNA from 1 species